rnacentral:misc_RNA from 1 species
GGAUCGAAUCCAUGCCGUGGCUAUGCGUUAUAAUUGUUCCUUUCCUUCGUUUAAUGGCCUUGUUCAAAAAAUUUGGGAGAUGUUUGUAUUUGUUUGUAUAGUUCCUUUUCCAAAUUUUGCAAUCGAGUCAACUCACUGAGUUCCGAGUCUAAGCUUAGGUGGUUCUUCGAUGGACAACAAGCUGGCACUCACAAGGUUCUUUAUUGUAUUUGUGUUAUUAUUUUAUUAUUCCAUCAUUUGGGUAGCUGGGGACUGGGG